rnacentral:rRNA from 1 species
GACGAACGCUGGCGGCGUGCUUAACACAUGCAAGUCGAACGGUAAGGCCCUUCGGGGUACACGAGUGGCGAACGGGUGAGUAACACGUGGGUGAUCUGCCCUGCACUUCGGGAUAAGCCUGGGAAACUGGGUCUAAUACCGGAUAGGACCACUGCCUGCAUGGGUGGUGGUGGAAAGCUUUUGCGGUGUGGGAUGGGCCCGCGGCCUAUCAGCUUGUUGGUGGGGUGAUGGCCUACCAAGGCGAUGACGGGUAGCUGGACUGAGAGGUCGGUCAGCCAAAAUAGCACUGAGACACGGGCUAUACACCUACGGGUGGCAGCAACCGGGAAUCUUGCGCAAUGGACGAAAGUCUGACGCAGCGACGCCGCGUGAGGGAUGAAGGCCUUCGGGUCGUAAACCUCUUUUGACUGGGAAGCACCCGCAAGGGUGGACGGUACCAGUAGAAUAAGCACCUGCUAACCAUGUGCCAGCCGCCGCCGUAA